GGACCCAUACCCAGUGGAAAAGUGCCUUGGAAGGCAUUUGCCUCAGAUCCAGGGCCUGUUUUAUUUGGAGAACAAUUGGAAAUGAUGAGAGGCCUAACAUGCAAAUUCUCCUUGGCAGCCCCCCGACGGAGGCGGGAGAGAUGCAUUUCCCAUCUGUGGGCCCACGUGCGGGAAGGACGAGGUGCAGGCCUAGACUCGCUGCGUCAACAAGGCAAGCAGGCUACUGGGUCUGUGUGUUAUUUUCUUCGGAGUAAUCAGCGUUUUCCAACCGCGAGAGGGGAUUUGAGGCAGAUUACGAGGCAAUUGUACAAUUCAUCAUGGUGGAUUAUCAGAAGAUGAAAAAGAGAACUGGUCUGAGAAUGAGGCUCCUUCCCAAAUUACCCUGCCACCUUGAACUAGCAGAUACAUGAAUUUGACUGGAGUUUUCUAGAAGCUGCAAUAAAAGCAAAAAUCUGAUUAUACAGCCUAACUCAGUGUCCCUAACAAAAGAUGGGGUGAUUUUGCUCAGCACUCUCAGGUGUUCUCAAAGAAAAUGACACAAAAUAUCAGGGCUGACAUCCCCCAAAUAUCUCAAGUCUGGAUAGCUUUUUAGUCAAGCCCUCUUGUCUUCAGUGCAAGCCACUCCCUGCAAUUCAGCCAAGGCAAUAAUCACAGGUUAAUACACAGCAACCCCCUAGGGGUUUCCCUGGUCACUUAGUGUUAGAGAAUCCACCUGUCAAUGCAGGAGAUUAGAGUUCGAUCCCUGGGCUAGAAAAAUUCCCCUGAGAAGGAAAUGGCAACCUACUUCAGUAUUCUUGCCUGGGAAAUCCUAUGGACAGAGGAGCCCGGUGGGCCACAGUCCAUGUGGUUGCAAAAGAGCUGGACACAACUUAGCCACUAGAGAACAACAACCCCCUACACUCAGUCAUCUGAGAUAAUUAAUUCUAUAGUGGCUGGCACACCUGGGUCCCCAGAAAACACCCUGUGCUGGUUGCCUUAAGCCACCCAGAUUUCAAACUAUCUAGAGCAGGAGUCUGCAAACUACAGCCUUCGGGCCAAAUCCAGCUCACAGCCUUGUUUUGUAAAUAAAGUUUUAUUGUCACACAGUCAUGCCCAUUCCUUAGUAUAGUGUCUGUGACUGCUUCAGAGGUGAGCAGUUGGCAACAGACCAUUUGGCUCAAAAAACACAAUAUUACCAUCUGGCCCUUUACAGAACACCAUGCAACCCCUGCUCUAGAGGAAAUGGAAGGGCCACAUGCUCUUCAAGUCAGUCCUCCAGAAGGUCUAUGCUCAGUGAAGUUCCCAACAGACGUGGAGCAGUCGUGAGUUCAACACCAUAUCUCCUGGCAGCAACCUGGCUUGCACGGCUCGACGCUGACAGUUAUAAAUGGUACCACGAGCCUGAGCCAACACUGUGGGCUGACCUUGAGAAUCUUGACAGGGACAGGUACCUGCCUAGGAACCAAUAUGUUCCAGUGCAGCAGUGAGAGAGGAGAACAGCCAAGUUGAUCUUUAAAAAUAACUCUGGGAACCUCCCUGGUGUCCCAGUGGUUCAGACUGUCUUCCAGUGCAGGGGGUGACGUUUCACUCCCUGGUUCCGGGAGCUAAGAUCUCACAUGCCUCAGCCAGAGAACCAAAAUAUUGAGCAGAAACAAUAUGGCAACAAAUCCCACAAGGACUUUAAAAAUGGUCUGCUGCUGCUGCUAAGUCACUUCAGUCGUGUCCGACUGUGUGUGACCCCAUAGAUGGCAGCCCCCCAGGCUCCCCCGACCCUGGGAUUCUCCAGGCAAGAACACUGGAGUGGGGUGCCAUUUCCUUCUCCAGUGCAUGACAGUGAAAAGUGAAAGUGAAGUCGCU
ensembl:lincRNA